rnacentral:rRNA from 1 species
UACGGAGGGUGCGAGCGUUGUCCGGAAUCACUGGGCGUAAAGAGCUCGUAGGCGGUCUGUCGCGUCGGCUGUGAAAACUCGGGGCUCAACUCCGAGCCUGCAGUCGAUACGGGCAGACUAGAGUGCUGUAGGGGAGACUGGAAUUCCUGGUGUAGCGGUGAAAUGCGCAGAUAUCAGGAGGAACACCGGUGGCGAAGGCGGGUCUCUGGGCAGUAACUGACGCUGAGGAGCGAAAGCGUGGGGAGCGAACAGG